GCCCGAGUGGCGGAAUGGUAGACGCAGCGGAUUCAAAAUCCGCCGCCCAAAAGGCGUGGGGGUUCGACUCCCCCCUCGGGCA
rnacentral:tRNA from 1 species